UAGCUUUGGUUUCUCUUAAGUCAUAUAUAAAUCUUUCGCCUUUUACUAAAGAUUUCCGUGAAGAGGAUCGUCUAUGAGUUUGAUGUAUUUUUAUGAGCUUUGUUCUGGCAAAGCU